GCUUAACCUUCGGGAGGGCGCUUACCACUUUGUGAUUCAUGACUGGGGUGAAGUCGUAACAAGGUAACCGUAGGGGAACCUGCGGUUGGAUCACCUCCUUA
rnacentral:rRNA from 18 species